CUCCGCUGGGGAGGACCGAGCCAGGAGGCGGGGACUGCGGCGCAAGGGGGCGGGGUCAGCUGUUGCCCCGCCCCCCGCUGCCUUAGCCCCGCCUCCUUCCCGGCUGGCUCCGCCCCCACGGCUGCGGGUCUGGCGCUGGCUGCGGCGCGGCCCCUCCGCCACCGCCUCGCUGGGGGCUCUAAUGGUCCCCGAGUCCUCCUGGGCCGGCGUCACCGCGGCAACACGUGUGGCCAUGCGGCUCUGGGGGGGCUCUUCCUCCUUCCCCUCCUCCUCCUCGGGGUGGUAGAAGCACUGCGUGGGCUCCUC
rnacentral:lncRNA from 1 species